UAGGGAAUCUUCGGCAAUGGACGAAAGUCUGACCGAGCAACGCCGCGUGAGUGAAGAAGGUUUUCGGAUCGUAAAACUCUGUUGGUAGAGAAGAACGUUAGUGAGAGUGGAAAGCUCAUCAAGUGACGGUAACUACCCAGAAAGGGACGGCUAACUACGUGCCAC
rnacentral:rRNA from 1 species